rnacentral:lncRNA from 1 species
UGGCUACAGGUGGCACCUGAAUGAAGGGCCUGAAAACAGGGGAACCCACUGAGAAACGGUGUCUUGGGUGGAGCUCCAUAGAAAACACAAGAAAAGUGAAGGUAUCCAUGAAGCAUGAAAGAAAAUGGAGCUCAAUGACUGCCUGAAAGAUUGGUUCAUCCAGUGGACAUGGAUCCUGUCUUAUCAACCUGGACAGAGACAUUUGUCUUGGCUACAGUUGCAGGUUCUCAUGGGAACUUAGCUGUUUUGGUUGCCUACGCUGACCUUGUUCUACACAUUCUCCAGCUGAAGAAGGGAAUGAGUGUGGAUCCUCUCGUGACUUCGAAAAGACGUGGAGCAACUGAGAGCUUUCCCACACUGCUUACACUGGGCUAAGGAAUUUCACUCUUACCAAUAGAAGCCAGGUUAUCGACGGUUUCCUGCAUCACAUCUCUAUAUAGUUCCUUCUGAGAAUCGUCCAGCAGAGCCCACUCCUCAUGGGUGAAGUUCACAGCUACAUCCUCAAAAGCCACUGAGUCCUAAAACAUCCCAUGAAAGAAGAAUGGCAAACAUGACAACACUCACCUCACUCACAUGAUUCUGCUUCCUACAACACAUCUGUAACUCGGUCCUUA